rnacentral:rRNA from 1 species
GACAGAGGUCCCGAGCGUUAGGCGGAAUCACUGGGCUUAAAGCGUGUGUAGGCGGAUCGUUAAGUGCCUUGUGAAAUCCCACGGCUUAACCGUGGAACUGCUUGGCAUACUGGCGGUCUUGAGCCACUUAGGGGCAACCGGAACAAAUGGUGGAGCGGCGAAAUGCGUAGAUAUCAUUUGGAACGCCAAUGGUGAAAACAGGUUGCUGGGAGUGUGCUGACGCUGAGACACGAAAGCCAGGGGAGCGAGCGGG